AGGACGAACGCUGGCGGCGUGCUUAACACAUGCAAGUCGAGCGAGGCCCUGUCUUCGGACUAGGUGCCCUAGCGGCGAACGGGUGAGUAACACGUGGGCAACCUGCCCCUAGCACUGGGGAUAACCCCGGGAAACCGGGGCUAAUACCGGAUAUGACCUCCGAGGGCAUCCUCGGUGGUGUAAAGGAUUCUGGCUAGGGAUGGGGCCCGCGGGCCUAUCAGCUUGUUGGUGGGGUAACGGCCUACCAAGGCGUCGACGGGUA
rnacentral:rRNA from 1 species